rnacentral:lncRNA from 1 species
GAGUGCUUACUUCUAUACGCGAUCCAAUAUUCAGCCUUCUGAUGAUGUUGCCAUGGUCCGUAGAACUGAAGAAAUCUUUAAUAAUCAGGAGAACUUUGUCUCGACAGGAAAUGAUAAUGAGAAGUAUAGACCCACAGAUGAGGUUGGGGCUUUUUUUGAUGGCUUAUGCAAGUAUGCUCGAUAUAGCAAGUUCAGAGUAAGGAACAGAUCAUGUUGGGGCUUUUUUUGAUGGCUUAUGCAAGUAUGCUCGGUAUAGCAAGUUCAGAGUAAGGGGAAUAUUAAGAAAUGCAGAUCUGAAUAAUUCUGCAAAUGUCAUUUGUUCUCUAAGCUUUGA